rnacentral:rRNA from 1 species
GAUUGCAGGCUGAAACUCGCCUGUAUGAAGUCGGAAUUGCUAGUAAUCGCGGAUCAGCAUGCCGCGGUGAAUACGUUCCCGGGCCUUGUACACACCGCCCGCCACACCAUGAGAGUUGGCAACACCCGAAGUCAGUAGCCUAACCGGCAAGGGGGGCGCUGCCGAAGGUGGGGUUGAUGAUUGGGGUGAAGUCGUAACAAGGUAGC